rnacentral:rRNA from 1 species
GGCGAGAACACCCGGCGAAUUUAAGCAUAUUACUAACCGGAGGAAAAGAAACCAACAGGGACGUCCUCAGUAGCGGCGAGCGAAGCGGACGAUGCCCAAACCGAACCGCGGUUCCCGAGGGGGCCGCGGAGUGUGGAGAGGAUGAGCUCGCGAGGGGGCGGGACGGGGUUCUAAUCCGUCUGGAAGGGGCGGAGGCACGGAGGGCGAUUCCCCGUACGUGCUCGGUCCGUCCCCGACGAGCGAACGCAUCGGAGAGUCGGGCCGCUUGAGAGUGCAGCCCGAAUGGGGUGAUAGGUCUCAUCCAAGGCUAAGUACGUGGGAGACGCCGAUAGCGAACAAGUACGGCGACGGAAAGGUGAAAAGAACCUCGAAAGGGGGGUCAAAAGCGCUCGAAAUCGUAGAGGGGGAAGCGGGACCUGACCGACGAGACCUCGUCGUCGCUCGCGCUCGACCCACGCCUUCGUCCGUCGGAGUUCCGGUAGGGCGUCGCCCCCGGACGCCGCCGGCGCGGCGGGUCGGGCGGCGCGUCGGCGGCGGGGCCGGCGUUCGCGCGGACGGCGUCGCGCCGACGACGGACGGUCGCCGUCCGGCUCCGCCCGGAAACGG